GAUGAAAGAACGUAGCGAAAUGCGAUACUUGGUGUGAAUUGCAGAAUCCCGCGAAUCAUCGAGUUUUUGAACGCAAGUUGCGCCCGAAGCCAUUCGGCCGAGGGCACGUCUGCCUGGGUGUCACGCAUCGCUGCCCCCCCAAACUCCGGUUCGGACGGGGCGGAAGUUGGCCUCCCGUGCGUGCGUGCCCGCACGCGCGGUUAGCCCAAAAGCGAGUCCUCGGCGACGAGCGCCACGACAAUCGGUGGUUUUUUUGCCCUCGUUCCUCGUCGUGUGCGCCCCAUCGCCCGAACGCGCUCUUACGACCCUCACGCGUGUCGCCUCGGCGGCGCUCACAACGCGACCCCAGGUCAGGCGGGACUACCCGCUGAGUUUAAGCAUAUCAAUAAGCGGAGGA
rnacentral:misc_RNA from 1 species